rnacentral:rRNA from 1 species
AUUGAACGCUGGCGGAAUGCUUUACACAUGCAAGUCGAACGGUAGAGGGGGCAACCCCUCGAGAGUGGCGAACGGGUGAGUAAUAUAUCGGAACGUGCCCAGUCGUGGGGGAUAACGUAGCGAAAGUUACGCUAAUACCGCAUACGAUCUAAGGAUGAAAGCGGGGGAUCGCAAGACCUCGCGCGAUUGGAGCGGCCGAUAUCAGAUUAGGUUGUUGGUGAGGUAAAAGCUCACCAAGCCUGCGAUCUGUAGCUGGUCUGAGAGGACGACCAGCCACACUGGAACUGAGACACGGUCCAGACUCCUACGGGAGGCAGCAGUGGGGAAUUUUGGACAAUGGACGCAAGCCUGAUCCAGCAAUGCCGCGUGCAGGAUGAAGGCCUUCGGGUUGUAAACUGCUUUUGUACGGAACGAAACGGCGAGCUCUAAUACAGUUUGCUAAUGACGGUACCGUAAGAAUAAGCACCGGCUAACUACGUGCCAGCAGCCGCCGCUG